AUUACAAUUUAAGUAUUUAAUGUGAAAAAAAUUUCAAUUAUUAUUAUAGAUGUCAAAAUAAUAGGAAGGAAGUAAAACUUGUAGAUACAUUUGUUGUAUGGGUAACUCGUGAUGGUAUAUUCCACGUUAUAACAGCAGUCAACCCUGUCGACUAUUGAUAUUCAUUUCACUGUAUCAUGACACACGUAACAAGACGUUUAAAUUGUUUUCUCGAUUUCUUGACAUUUCUAUGGAUACAAUUAAAUAAUUGCAACAAAUCAGUGAUACUUUAGGUUAAUCAAAAUAUGUUAUAAUUAUCCUAAUGGAGGAAAACGCUUUAUAAUUUUAUUUUAUUGCAGUGACUUCACAAUUCAAGGGAAAACACGCAUGUUACUGAAUUAAG
rnacentral:lncRNA from 1 species